rnacentral:rRNA from 1 species
UUAGCCCUAAACAUAGAUAAUUAUGUAAACAAAAUUAUUCGCCAGAGUACUACUAGCAACAGCUUAAAACUCAAAGGACUUGGCGGUGCUUCAUAUCCUUCUAGAGGAGCCUGUUCUGUAAUCGAUAAACCCCGAUAAACCUCACCAAUUCUUGCUAAUACAGUCUAUAUACCGCCAUCUUCAGCAAACCCUAUAAAGGAACAAAAGUAAGCACAAUCAUAAUACAUAAAAAAGUUAGGUCAAGGUGUAACCUAUGAAAUGGGAAGAAAUGGGCUACAUUUUCUUAAACUAAGAAAAUUAACACACGAAAACCAUUAUGAAAUUAAUAGUUAAAGGAGGAUUUAGCAGUAAAC